rnacentral:rRNA from 1 species
UGAAAGGGAAACGAUUGAAGUCAGUCGUACCUGCGGGUAAUCAGCCUUUUGGGCAUGAUUCUGUGGAGCGUGAGGAGUUAAACGCCUUCAUGCCUGCAUAUUCGUGUACUUUGGGUGUACUUGCCUGUGUGGUUAGUUAACAUCAAUUUUGGUUAUCAUAAAAUGGUUGGAGGAAUGUAGCUUCGAUUUCGAUUGAAGUGUUAUAGCCUUCGGCAGAUGUGAUGAUCGGGAUUGAGGAUUGCAACGGAUACCCUUCGGGGCUACCUGUCUGAUCUCUGAUCGUUGCUCUGGUGCCGAAAGCGUGCUUACGGUUAUCAAAGUCGAUGGUUAAUAGGUUAGAAUGGGUUAAAUUCGUUAAGGAUGUUGACGUA